UUUUUCUUAUGGAUAGGCAGAGAGAAAACUUAUUAGUGAUACAAAUUCAAGAAGGCUAGAAGAAUAUCACUUGUCUUAAUACACGGAGUACUCACAAAUAAGAAUUAGAAGGUAAAUUCUAAUUUACCUUCAUCAGCAUUUCACAAAACUGAAAGAAGAGAAAGACUGCAUGUGCAGCUGGAUUCAUUGUUAACAUGGUUUGCCUAGUCUCCUGCUUGAGAGACCUUAAUCAAGAUGUAGGUGACAACUGUGUUAGCUAACAUGUGAUUCUAAUGGACUUUUAAGACAAAAUAAUAUGACUUCUGGAUUCCCUGAAAAGCUACAGCUUUGUUAAAGGCCACCACAGAAGCAUGUGAGGACACAACAAAAAUGCAGCCGUCUACAAAGAAGGACAUGGGCUUUCACCAGACAGCAAAUCUGCAAGUGCUCUGACCUUGGACUUCCCCGCCUCCAAAACUGUGAGAAACAAAUGUUGGUUGUUUAUAAACCAUCUAGUUUAUGGUGUUUUGUUUUAUCAUUCCAAACAGAGAAGACAAUA